rnacentral:rRNA from 1 species
AUAGGCGAAGCGUGCGAUUGGAUUGCACGUCUAAGCAGUAAGGCUGAGUAUUAGGCAAAUCCGGUACUCGUUAAGGCUGAGCUGUGAUGGGGAGAAGACAUUGUGUCUUCGAGUCGUUGAUUUCACACUGCCGAGAAAAGCCUCUAGAUAGAAAAUAGGUGCCCGUACCGCAAACCGACACAGGUAGUCAAGAUGAGAAUUC